rnacentral:rRNA from 1 species
GAUGAACGCUAGCGGCAGGCUUAAUACAUGCAAGUCGAGGGGCAGCAGGACUGUAGCAAUACAGUUGCUGGCGACCGGCAAACGGGUGCGGAACACGUACGCAACCUACCCAUAACUGAGGAAUAGCCCGGGGAAACCCGGAUUAAUACCUCGUAACAUAGUGAGAUGGCAUCAUCUUAUUAUUAUAGCUCCGGUGGUUAUGGAUGGGCGUGCGCCUGAUAGGUAGUUGGCGGAGUAAUAGCCCACCAAGCCUACGAUCAGUAACUGGUGUGAGAGCACGACCAGUCACACGGGCACUGAGACACGGGCCCGACUCCUACGGGAGGCAGCAGUAAGGAAUAUUGCACAAUGGGCGAAAGCCUGAUGCAGCGACGCCG